rnacentral:rRNA from 1 species
UUUAUGGAGAGUUUGAUCCUGGCUCAGGAUGAACGCUGGCGGCGUGCCUAAUACAUGCAAGUCGAGCGAACGGACGAGAAGCUUGCUUCUCUGAUGUUAGCGGCGGACGGGUGAGUAACACGUGGAUAACCUACCUAUAAGACUGGGAUAACUUCGGGAAACCGGAGCUAAUACCGGAUAAUAUUUUGAACCGCAUGGUUCAAAAGUGAAAGACGGUCUUGCUGUCACUUAUAGAUGGAUCCGCGCUG